CUCUGGGCUCCUGGCUCCACCGGGCUCCGUGGCAGUGAGAGCGCGCAGGCGCGGCUGGCGGUACGCGGAGUAGAGGCGCGGGGCGCGCGGUGAGGUGGCCGCGUGGGGUUCGCAGCUGAGGAACGAGGGAAUCAUCAUCCAGGAAUCUCCUGAGGACCACAAGAAAACAUGGGGAGGAUUUUUCUCACUGGAGAAAAAGCCAAUUCAGUACUAAAACGCUACCCAAGAGCAAAUGGACUUUUUGAAGAAAUAAGACAGGGCAACAUUGAACGCGAAUGCAAAGAAGAAGUCUGCACAUUCGAAGAAGCAAGAGAAGCUUUUGAAAAUAAUGAA